rnacentral:pre_miRNA from 1 species
AGUGGGAUAGCUGGGUCAAAUGGUGAUUCCAUUCCAAGUUUUCUGAGGAAUCUCCGUACUGCUUUCCAUAGUGCUUACACCAAUUUGCAGUCCCACCAGCAAU